rnacentral:tRNA from 1 species
AGAGGUAUAGCUCAACGGCUAGAGCGACUUGGGGAAAACGAGUGGCGAGGUGCUGCAAGUGAUCGCUUGUGAGAAGUGCAUCCAGCUAAAAGGCUUGAUUAAUCUUUUAGUGCGCAGGUUCGAAUCCUGCUACCUCUA